rnacentral:rRNA from 1 species
UACGGAGGGUGCAAGCGUUAUCCAGAUUCACUGGGUUUAAAGGGUGCGUAGGUGGGUUGGUAAGUCAGUGGUGAAAUCCCCGAGCUUAACUCGGGAACUGCCAUUGAUACUAUCAAUCUUGAAUACUGUGGAGGUCAGCGGAAUAUGUCAUGUAGCGGUGAAAUGCAUAGAUAUGACAUAGAACACCAAUUGCGAAGGCAGCUGGCUACACAAAUAUUGACACUGAGGCACGAAAGCGUGGGGAUCAAACAGG